GGAGUACGCCGCAACGUGAAACUCAAAGGAAUUGACGGGGCCCGCACAAGCGGAGGACAUGUGUUAUUCGAUGAUACGCGAGGAACCUACCCGGGCUUGAACUGCCAGUGAACGAUACAGAGAUGUAGAGGCCCUUCGGGGCGCUGUGGAGUGCUGCAUGGUUGUCGUCAGCUCGUGCCGUGAGGUGUCGGCUUAAGUGCCAUAACGAGCGCAACCCUUGCUGUCGGUUGCCAUCACGUAGUGGUGGGCACUCCGGCGGGACUGCCAUCGCAAGAUGUGAGGAAGGUGGGGAUGACGUCAAAUCAGCACGGCCCUUACGUCCGGGGCUACACACGUGUUACAAUGGGGGGCACAGCGCGGAGCUACCUGGUGACAGGAUGCGAAUCGUGAAAUCCCCUCUCAGUUCGGACUGGAGUCUGCAACCCGACUCCACGAAGCUGGAUUCGCUAGUAAUCGCGCAUCAGCCAUGGCGCGGUGAAUACGUUCCCGGGCCUUGUACACACCGCCCGUCAAGCCAUGAAAGCCGGGGGUGCCUGAAGUCCGUCACCGCGAGGAUCGGCCUAAGGCAAAACUGGUGAUUGGGGCU
rnacentral:rRNA from 1 species